rnacentral:rRNA from 1 species
UAUGUGUAAGCGGUAGCGGAGCGUUCCGUAAGCCUGCGAAGCGGUACCUGUGAGGGGCCGUGGAGGUAUCGGAAGUGCGAAUGAUGACAUGAGUAGCGACAAAAAGUGUGAGAGACACUUUCGCCGAAAUUCCAAGGGUUCCUGCGCAAUGCUAAUCAGCGCAGGGUUAGUCGGCCCCUAAGGUGAGGCAGAAAUGCGUAGCCGAUGGGAAUCACGUUAAUAUUCGUGAACCAGAUGGUAGUGACGGAUCGCGCAGGUUCGUAUCCCCUUAUUGGAUUGGGGGUGCGAUGAGCCGGUUCCUGGAAAUAGCUCCAUCGAUAUUGACCGUACCCUAAACCGACACAGGUGGACUGGUAGAGUAUACCAAGGCGCUUGAGAGAACUAUACUGAAGGAACUCGGCAAAUUGCAUGCGUAACUUCGGGAUAAGCAUGACUUCUAUCGGGGCAACCCUUUAGGAGUGGCACAAAAGAGGGGGUGGCGACUGUUUACUAAAAACACAGGGCUCUGCGAAGAUGUAAAUCGACGUAUAGGGUCUGACGCCUGCCCGGUGCCGGAAGGUUAAAUGGAGAGGUGCAAGCUUUGAAAUGAAGCCCCGGUAAACGGCGGCCGUAACGGUAACGGUCCUAAGGUAGCGAAAUUCCUUGUCGGGUAAGUUCCGACCUGCACGAAUGGCGUAACGACUUCCCCACUGUCUCCAGUAUAGACUCAGCGAAAUUGAAUUCCCCGUGAAGAUGCGGGGUUCCUGCGGUCAGACGGAAAGACCCCAUGCACCUUUACUAUAGCUUUACGCUGGCAUUUGUGUCGGCAUGUGCAGGAUAGGUGGUAGGCUUUGAAGCAGGGACGCUAGUUCUUGUGGAGCCGCAAGAUGAGAUACACCCUUAUCGUCAUAGGUGUCUAACCGCGGCAUAACAGUGUCCGGGACAGCGUAUGGUGGGUAGUUUGACUGGGGCGGUCGCCUCCCAAAGAGUAACGGAGGCGCGCGAUGGUGGGCUCAGACCGGUCGGAAAUCGGUCGCUGAGUGCAAUGGCAUAAGCCUGCCUGACUGCGAGACUGACAAGUCGAGCAGAGACGAAAGUCGGUCAUAGUGAUCCGGUGGUCCCGCGUGGAAGGGCCAUCGCUCAACGAAUAAAAGGUACGCUGGGGAUAACAGGCUGAUGAUGCCCAAGAGUCCAUAUCGACGGCAUCGUUUGGCACCUCGAUGUCGGCUCAUCACAUCCUGGGGCUGGAGCAGGUCCC